rnacentral:rRNA from 1 species
UACGUAGGGACCAAGCGUUGUUCGGAUUUACUGGGCGUAAAGGGCGCGUAGGCGGCGCAAUAAGUCACUUGUGAAAUCUUCGGGCUUAACUCGGAGCGGCCAAGUGAUACUGUUGUGCUAGAGUGCAGAAAGGGCAAUCGGAAUUCUCGGUGUAGCGGUGAAAUGCGUAGAUAUCGAGAGGAACACCUGAGGCGAAGGCGGGUUGCUAGGCUGACACUGACGCUGAGUGCGCGAAAGCUAGGGUAGCAAACGGG